rnacentral:rRNA from 1 species
UACGUAGGGUGCGAGCGUUGUCCGGAAUUAUUGGGCGUAAAGGAGCUCGUAGGCGGUUUGUUGCGUCGGCCGUGAAAACCUGCAGCUUAACUGUGGGCCUGCGGCCGAUACGGGCAGACUUGAGUUCGGUAGGGGAGACUGGAAUUCCUGGUGUAGCGGUGAAAUGCGCAGAUAUCAGGAGGAACACCGGUGGCGAAGGCGGGUCUCUGGGCCGAUACUGACGCUGAGGAGCGAAAGCGUGGGGAGCGAACAGG